rnacentral:ncRNA from 4 species
CUUAGCAGGUUGUAUUAUCAUU